GACGAACGCUGGCGGCGUGCUUAACACAUGCAAGUCGAACGGAAAGGCCCUGCUUUUGUGGGGUGCUCGAGUGGCGAACGGGUGAGUAACACGUGAGUAACCUGCCCUUGACUUUGGGAUAACUUCAGGAAACUGGGGCUAAUACCGGAUAGGAGCUCCUGCUGCAUGGUGGGGGUUGGAAAGUUUCGGCGGUUGGGGAUGGACUCGCGGCUUAUCAGCUUGUUGGUGGGGUAGUGGCUUACCAAGGCUUUGACGGGUAGCCGGCCUGAGAGGGUGACCGGCCUCAUUGGGACUGAGGUACGGCCCAGCCUACUACGGGUGGCAGCAGUGGGGAAUAUUACACAACGGGCGGAAGGACGAUGCAGCAACGCCGCGUGCGGGAUGACGGCCUGCGGGUUGUAAACCGCUUUCGCCUGUGACGAAGCGUGAGUGACGGUAAUGGGUAAAGAAGCACCGGCUAACUACGUG
rnacentral:rRNA from 1 species